rnacentral:rRNA from 1 species
UACGUAGGGCGCAAGCGUUGUCCGGAAUUAUUGGGCGUAAAGAGCUCGUAGGCGGUCUGUCGCGUCUGCUGUGAAAACUCAGGGCUUAACCCUGAGCUUGCAGUGGGUACGGGCAGACUAGAGUGCGGUAGGGGAGACUGGAAUUCCUGGUGUAGCGGUGAAAUGCGCAGAUAUCAGGAAGAACACCCGUGGCGAAGGCGGCUUUCUGGGACGGUACUGACG